UCAGGAUGAACGCUGGCGGCGUGCCUAAUACAUGCAAGUCGAGCGAACCACUUCGGUGGUGAGCGGCGAACGGGUGAGUAACACGUAGGUGAUCUGCCCAUCAGACGGGGACAACGAUUGGAAACGAUCGCUAAUACCGGAUAGGACGAAAGUUUAAAGGUGCUUCUGGCACCGCUGAUGGAUGAGCCUGCGGCGCAUUAGCUAGUUGGUAGGGUAAAGGCCUACCAAGGCGACGAUGCGUAGCCGACCUGAGAGGGUGAACGGCCACACUGGGACUGAGACACGGCCCAGACUCCUACGGGAGGCAGCAGUAGGGAAUCUUCGGCAAUGGGCGAAAGCCUGACCGAGCAACGCCGCGUGAAUGAUGAAGGCCUUCGGGUUGUAAAAUUCUGUUAUAAGGGAAGAACGACUUUAGUAGGAAAUGGCUAGAGUGUGACGGUACCUUAUGAGAAAGCCACGGCUAACUACGUGCCAGCAGCCGCGGUAAUACGUAGGUGGCGAGCGUUAUCCGGAAUUAUUGGGCGUAAAGAGCGCGCAGGUGGUUGAUUAAGUCUGAUGUGAAAGCCCACGGCUUAACCGUGGAGGGUCAUUGGAAACUGGUCGACUUGAGUGCAGAA
rnacentral:rRNA from 1 species